CUUUAACUCUGGCGGCAGGCCUAACACAUGCAAGUCGAGCGGAUGAAGGGAGCUUGCUCCUGGAUUCAGCGGCGGACAGGUGAGUAAUGCCUAGGAAUCUGCCUGGUAGUGGGGGAUAACGUCCGGAAACGGGCGCUAAUACCGCAUACGUCCUGAGGGAGAAAGUGGGGGAUCUUCGGACCUCACGCUAUCAGAUGAGCCUAGGUCGGAUUAGCUAGUUGGUGGGGUAAAGGCCUACCAAGGCGACGAUCCGUAACUGGUCUGAGAGGAUGAUCAGUCACACUGGAACUGAGACACGGUCCAGACUCCUACGGGAGGCAGCAGUGGGGAAUAUUGGACAAUGGGCGAAAGCCUGAUCCAGCCAUGCCGCGUGUGUGAAGAAGGUCUUCGGAUUGUAAAGCACUUUAAGUUGGGAGGAAGGGCAGUAAGUUAAUACCUUGCUGUUUUGACGUUACCAACAGAAUAAGCACCGGCUAACUUCGUG
rnacentral:rRNA from 1 species